rnacentral:rRNA from 1 species
AUAUAUAUAUAUAUAUAUAUAACAAUAAUUUUUGGAAAAAAUGAUCCUCUAAUAGAGAUUAAAAGAUUAAGUUACUUUAGGGAUAACAGCGUAAUCUUCUUUGAAAGUUCAUAUCGACAAGAAGGGUUGCGACCUCGAUGUUGAAUUAAGGUUUCUUUGUGGUGCAGCGGUCAUAAUGAGAAGGUCUGUUCGACCUUUAAUUCCUUACAUGAUCUGAUUCAGACCGGAAAAUUGUUUGUUUAA